UAAUACAGAGGGUGCAAGCGUUAAUCGGAAUUACUGGGCGUAAAGCGUGCGUAGUCGGUUAUCUAAGUCAGGUGUGAAAUCCCCGGGCUCAACCUGGGAAUUGCAUUUGAUACUGGAUAGCUAGAGUUCGGCAGAGGGAAGUGGAAUUUCUGGUGUAGCGGUGAAAUGCGUAGAUAUCAGAAGGAACAUCAGUGGCGAAAGCGACUUCCUGGACCAGAACUGACGAUCAGGCACGAAAGCGUGGGGAGCAAACAGGAUUAGAUACCCUGGUAGUCCACGCCAUAAACGAUGACAACUAGACGUUGGGGGCAUAUGGCCCACAGUGUCGCAGCUAACGCGUUAAGUUGUCCGCCUGGGGAGUACGGCCGCAAGGUUG
rnacentral:rRNA from 1 species